GUUACCUUCGGGUAAUGAGGAUGGCGGACGGGUGAGUAACGCGUAAGGAACUUGCCUCUUGGACUGGGACAACUGUUGGAAACGACAGCUAAUACCGGAUAUUAUGAGAUUCUCGCAUGAGAAACUUAUGAAAGCUAUAUGCGCCGAGAGAGAGCCUUGCGUUCCAUUAGCUAGUUGGUGGGGUAACGGCCCACCAAGGCGACGAUGGAUAGCCGGCCUGAGAGGGUGAACGGCCACAAGGGGACUGAGACACGGCCCUUACUCCUACGGGAGGCAGCAGUGGGGAAUAUUGGACAAUGGGCCACAAGCCUGAUCCAGCAAUUCUGUGUGCACGAUGAAGGUCUUCGGAUUGUAAAGUGCUUUCAGUUGGGAAGAAGAAAGUGACGGUACCAACAGAAGAAGCGACGGCUAAAUACGUGCCAGCAGCCGCGGUAAUACGUAUGUCGCAAGCGUUAUCCGGAUUUAUUGGGCGUAAAGCGCGUCUAGGCGGAAAAAUAAGUCUGAUGUUAAAAUGCGGGGCUCAACUCCGUAUUGCGUUGGAAACUGUUUUUCUAGAGUACUGGAGAGGUGGGCGGAACUACAAGUGUAGAGGUGAAAUUCGUAGAUAUUUGUAGGAAUGCCGAUGGAGAAGUCAGCUCACUGGACAGAUACUGACGCUGAAGCGCGAAAGCGUGGGGAGCAAACAGG
rnacentral:rRNA from 1 species